AUAAUGCGAAGCAUGGGAAGCACAAGGCUUCCCGUGUAUGAUUGAACCCGCACGGCCGUUUACCUGAGUAAGUGGCCUGAUUUCGGGUUCAUUUUUUG
rnacentral:sRNA from 1 species